AACGAACGCUGGCGGCAGGCCUAACACAUGCAAGUCGAACGCUGCAGCAAUGCAGAGUGGCAGACGGGUGAGUAACGCGUGGGAACCUUCCCAAUGGUACGGAAUAGCCCAGGGAAACUUGGGGUAAUACCGUAUAAGCCCCAUGGGGGAAAGAUUUAUCGCCAUUGGACGGGCCCGCGUCGGAUUAGCUAGUUGGUGAGGUAACGGCGCACCAAGGCGACGAUCCGUAGCUGGUUUGAGAGAAUGACCAGCCACACUGGGACUGCGACACGGCCCAGACUCCUACGGGAGGCAGCAGUGGGGAAUCUUGGACAAUGGGCGAAAGCCUGAUCCAGCCAUGCCGCGUGAGUGACGAAGGCCUUAGGGUUGUAAAGCUCUUUUGGCGGGGACGAUAAUGACGGUACCCGCAGAAUAAGUCCCGGCUAACUUCGUGCCAGCCGCCGCCGUAA
rnacentral:rRNA from 1 species